rnacentral:misc_RNA from 1 species
UCACUUGUUUAGUAUUUGAAAAGGAGCCAGAUGAAAAGUGUACUUCUUGAAGUUGAUCUUCAUUUUCUGACUCAACAGUCACAUCUUUUAUCAGGGAUUCAUCAACAGAACUGGCUUCAGUAGAUAUUGGUCUCCAUUGACGAGUAACUGUCUUUUGCUUUUUGUUCCUGUCCAUGCUACCUAACCUAAUUUUUGGCCCUGUUGUCUUCCUAUUAAAGCUCAAACUAUAAUAAGAACAUUGUUCCUGAAAGUAAUUAGCUGGCUUCGACUUCACAUAUGAAUUCCCAAGUUUGAGCACACUAUCCGCUCUGCAACUCAAGAGGAAGAUUGACCUACGAGCAAACAUCCGUAUCUUUCUUCUUUCUAUACUGCCGUGGAAGAGGAACGGUUUCUAUACUUUCACACGUGCGAAC